AGUGAACGCUGGCGGUAGGCCUAACACAUGCAAGUCGAACGGCAGCACAGGAGAGCUUGCUCUCUGGGUGGCGAGUGGCGGACGGGUGAGGAAUACAUCGGAAUCUACUUUUUCGUGGGGGAUAACGUAGGGAAACUUACGCUAAUACAGCAUACGACCUACGGGUGAAAGCAGGGGAUCUUCGGACCUUGCGCGAUUGAAUGAGCCGAUGUCGGAUUAGCUGGUUGGCGGGGUAAAGGCCCACCAAGGCGACGAUCCGUAGCUGGUCUGAGAGGAUGAUCAGCCACACUGGAACUGAGACACGGUCCAGACUCCUACGGGAGGCAGCAGUGGGGAAUAUUGGACAAUGGGCGCAAGCCUGAUCCAGCCAUACCGCGUGGGUGAAGAAGGCCUUCGGGUUGUAAAGCCCUUUUGUUGGGAAAGAAAUCCAGCUGGUUAAUACCCGGUUGGGAUGACGGUACCCAAAGAAUAAGCACCGGCUAACUUCGUGCCAGCAGCCGCGGUAA
rnacentral:rRNA from 1 species